rnacentral:lncRNA from 1 species
UAAGGAGUAAUCCUGAACAUGAGUAUAAGGAGUAAUCGAAUUAAAAGAAAAUAAUUUUUCAUCAAAGUUAUAAACCAACCCAAUUUCAAUGUACCUCAUCAAAUAUUUCUAAUAUUCCACAACACUGAUUAGUUCCGCGGGAACAUAGUGAUAAAUCCGAACAAACCAAACAACACCCAAUUUAAAGCAUGAGAUGCAAGGAAGAGAGAUAAAUGUCACCCAUCCUAGCAGGUCACCACAUCGUGAAGCUUGAUGCCAAUUUGAAAGUAGAGCCCCCGAAUUCCUCUUAAUCCCCAAGGAUGAUCAAUGCGAAUGUGAACUCCUUGUUCCAUCUCUGAGGUUGGUGUUCACACAAUUCCUGACAGAAAAAAACAUGAAAACGUGCUAGACACACAGCUACAAACUGCAUGCAUAUUAAGAAGGACAUACAUUAUGGAUACUAGGGCAACAACCAGUACUUUGUCGCCUCCCACUACAGGCUACCUUGCAACACUGGACAUGACUCCACAUAUUCUGUAACCGUAGAAACGAAGACACCAUUGGCUAUUGCCGCCUUUAACGAUUUCCACUACCACCAACACUUCACCAUCCCAGACCAAGCAGCAAAGGCUCAUGCUGUUUCCGCACACAUCUUAGGAAAACACAAAAGAGAUUCUGAAAAUAAUACAUAAGGAAAGAAGAGUUUUGAAUAUAAACCCUAGACAGAUAGAUUAAACGCCAUGUGCAUCUACAAUUUUGUAUGAAGGGUUUAGGGUAUAUAUAAGGCAAUGCAUGAUUAUGAUCUGCAACCUCUAUGAUUGUGAUCAUCGGAUAAACAUUGUAUAGAGCUACAGAAGUAGUCAAACAAGUUGGAUUACAUGGUUAGAUAACUCAAGAUGUACCUUGCUGCACCUUGAAGUGGAGUUUGGCUCAUUUUCACGGGGUCAAUGGUACCAUCCUUGAUCAUGUACCACAAUAGUAUCAACGGUGACAUAGGACACCAGGAAAAUAAACCUUGAUUCUCUGCGUUUUGGAUCUAGCUACCCGUCAUGGCCUCCGUCAAGAGUAUAUUUUCUCCGUUGAUAGAGUUGUACUUCUUCUAUCACUCAUCACCGACCCUGUACCAUCACCACCGCCAAAACCACCAGAAAAUUGAAUGUCAACUCCAGAAGCAAUGCUAUGGUACCAAUGAUGCAUGGAAUAAUUAUUAUGAAAAGUUACAUUGUACAUUUGUGCCAAGAAAACACAAAUGAAAUCAAGAUAGCUACCUCAUUAUGGUGAUCUUGCUGUCGAAAACUCUGACACACAAUUAGCAUCUCGCAAACAAAGUAAGAUAAAACUAAAGGUACACAUUAAUUAAACAUAAUGUAACGCAAAAUCUGAUCCAGGAAAAAAAUAACUACAAAUCUCUACAUAACCCAAAAGUCACCUAGUAAAAAGGUCGCAAAAAGAUUUUACGUCCACUAUAAGAAAAGGCUAAUGAACGAAAACAAUAUUUGUGAAGGUCGCGUUGCUAUCAAUAAGAAUACCAAAUCAUGUUGUGGAUAACCAAAUUCAACCUCAUGUCUUCGGUAGUCUAGAGCUAUACAUUACAAAAUUACGUUCAUGCAGCAGAAAUGAAUGUAUUAACAUGGUUUAUUACGAUAAAUAAGUUGUCUUGCCUAGCAAAUACUUCCUCUGUAUCAAAAUAUAAGACGUUUCAUGUCCACUAUAAGAACAGGCAAAUGAACGAAAACAAUAUUUCUGAACGUUCACGUUGCUAUCAAUAAGAAGACCAAAUCAUGUGGAUAACAAAAUUCAACCUCAUGUGUUCGGCAGCCAGGAGCUAUACAUUCCAAAAUUAUGUUGAUGUAGAAGAAAUGAAUGUAUUAACAUGCUUUAUUAUGAUAAAUAAAUUGUCUUGCCUAGCAAAUACUUCUUUUAUAUCAAAAUAUAAGACAUUUUUUGAUACAAAAGGAGUAUACAAAAACAUCUUAUAUUUUGAUACGGAGACAACAUACCUCACUUGUUUAGCAUAUAUUCCUUCAGCUUAACUUGUGAAUGUAUCAAACUCUAACUACCUCUUCACAAAACACAUACAGUGAGUUAAGAGAGGUGUGAAGACCUUGUACCUGCAAGCAUAUUACCAAAUAGUAGAGAUAAUCAAGUUUGUUGAACCUCCAAAAAUAAAAUGCUCAUCAAUAGAACAACAACUUGCUAUGUUAUCAAAAUAACAAAAAUGGGCUUGCAAGUACAUAGCAGGUGUAGAACAACUUUUUUUUAAUGUUUCAACAGUAAAACUCACAAGGAUGAGCUUGCAGGUACAGAGAUGAAAUACUACUCAAAAUGAAAAACAAAUGUCCCUUGCAGAAGGGAUCCAAGCAAUUGAGUAAUAGGUAAAAUCAUGAUGACAUAAAAAUGAGGAAUACACAAAAUUUUGUUGUUAAUGGUACCAACAGGGUGAGAGUUUGUCAUGCCGUGUUGAUGGACUGCAUAUUUGAC